rnacentral:rRNA from 1 species
CGCAAGGCUAAACAUCUAGAGAAUUGACGGGGCCCUGCACAAGCGGUGGAGCACGUGGUUUAAUUCGAUGAUAAGCGAAGAACCUUACCUGGACUUGACAUACUAGCAGUAGGAGCCAGAGAUGGUAACGACCCCUUCUUUUGGUAGGGGAACUAGUACAGGUGAUGCAUGGCUGUCGUCAGCUCGUGUCGUGGGACGUUGGGUUAAGUCCCGAAACGAGCGCAACCCCUGUUGUUAGUUGCCAGCGGGUAAUGCCGGGGACUCUAACAAGACUGCUGGUGAAUAGCCGGAGGAAGGAGGGGAUGACGUCAAGUCAUCAUUUCCCUUAUGUCCAGGGCGACACACAUGCUACAAUGGGAGGUACAAUGGGCUGCUAAACCGCAAGGUCAUGCGAAUCCCAAAAAGCCUUCCUCAGUUCGGAUUGAGGUCUGCAACCCGACCUCAUGAAGCCGGAAUCGCUAGUAAUCGCAGGUCAGCCACACUGCGGUGAAUAUGUACUCAGGGUUUGUACACACCGCCCGUCACACCAAUCGAGUAGAGGGGACCUGAAGUCGUCUUACGGGCGCCUAAGGUAACUUCUGUAAGAGGGGUG